GUAGGUGGCAAGCGUUGUCCGGAAUUAUUGGGCGUAAAGCGCGCGCAGGCGGUUCUUUAAGUCUGAUGUGAAAGCCCACGGCUCAACCGUGGAGGGUCAUUGGAAACUGGAGAACUUGAGUACAGAAGAGGAAAGCGGAAUUCCACGUGUAGCGGUGAAAUGCGUAGAGAUGUGGAGGAACACCAGUGGCGAAGGCGGCUUUCUGGUCUGUAACUGACGCUGAGGCGCGAAAGCGUGGGGAGCAAACAGGAUUAGAUACCCUGGUAGCCCACGCCGUAAACGAUGAGUGCUAAGUGUUAGGGGGGUUUCCGCCCCCCUUAGUGCUGCAGCUAACGCAUUAAGCACUCCGCCUGGGAGUACGGCCGCAAGGCUG
rnacentral:rRNA from 1 species